UGGACAGAUGGGCUUGUCCAACAGCUCCUCUCCCGCGGUGACAGUUUGUGUCAAUGGGUGACUAAUCAACCCAUUACCAGUUUAUGGUCACAGGGGGCUGUUCUGAGACUUUAUCUAGAAAACGUGCAACAGGUUCAGCUGGGAUAUCUGCUCCCUGCACCAGGCUGAGCAGUAAGUAGCUUACAUGUCAGUCCCGAUUUUUAAAAGAAAGCCUUAGAAAACUCCGUGCAACGUGAAGAAUCGGCCACCCGAGGCGGCUGUCAACCCGCGGAGCAACUGCUGGUGCUCGACUACCAUUUCCUUCGAGCGAUGGAGCAAAGCUGCAACUGGAGGAGUUCAGCCAAGAGACUCUGAGUAAAGGAAGCACACAGGCAAAAUUGAUUCAGCCAUUGGUACACGUUACUGAAGAGCAAACACAUUUGUCUUGACCAUGCUGACGGGGAAAGAACAACUUGCAUAACAGAGCAGGUCUCUGCAGCCAAGAACAGCAGCCCGUGAAGUGCAGCUCAGAAGUGCUGACUACAGGAGAGGAGAGACGAAAGAGAUCUUAAUACCGGCAGCAAAGCAGGCACCUGCCAAGUCUGGUACAGUUACAAUACAGGCUUCUCUCUGCUUUUACAA